rnacentral:lncRNA from 10 species
AACACAGGGAGAGACACCAGACAGAUGCAGCCCAGAGAGAUGAGCAUGUAACACACAGCAAGAAUGCAGCCACCAGGCAAGCCAAGGAGAGAGCCUUCAGAAGAAACCAACCCUGCCGACACCUUGACCUCAGACUUCCAGCCUCUAAAACGAUUGAAGACAAUGCUGAUCAUACUAUCAACCAUGAAGGACUGUGCUGAGGAUUGAAUGAGAAUACAUUCAGGCCACGGAACACAGUGUGUAUAUAUUACACAUGCUCCAAAAAGGCUAGCUGCUACUAUGAAGUUGGAUAAAUUGACUCAGGAAAGGGCAGAAUGAACUUGAUAUUGUGACUGUACAUUUCAGAGAGGCCCCAAAGAGCAAAUAUUCAGAUCACAGCAUUCACUCCCGGAAUAAGCAUAUUCGAAAACCCUUUCUUUGUCAAGCACGAUACGUGGAGGGAGACUCAUUCUGUUUCAGAAAGCUGAGAGUUAAGUGGCCAAGAUAACCCCAAAAGACAAUCCUAAUAGAUGUGGUGGACACAACAGCAGAAAUAUGGCCACAGGUGUCACAUUUCCAGGUUUUAUCUACUACAAAGGAUAUCACUUGGGAAGGAAUUUCUUGAAACUGCUCCCAAGAGAGCCAUUGGACCAUGUGGUAAACAACUCCUAGCUGAUGGAUUAUUGGGAAUAUUAACAUCAUCCAGAAUGCUAUGGGGAGAAGACAACUGGAAGCUCCGUGUGGACAAACCUCCUGGACUCUGCCCCACAUAUCUCUUCCCUUGGCUGAUUUGAAUUUUUAGAAGCUGACAGCUGACACGCCCUUCCUUUGUGCAUUUUAUCCUGGGACAAAAUGAGAAGACAUCCUUCAGUUCCCCUCAUCAACAAGAAUUUACCAAGAAGAAUUCUCCAAUGCCAGUGAGAUUCUGAAAUCUCAUAGUUGUACUCAAUUAUAAAUUACUUAUUCACAUGAUCCAGGUUUUACAUGGGUUAAUUUUUUUAGAUAAUCAUCAGAAUGAAAACAUGACAUUUAAAAAAGCACAAAUAAGACUACAAAGAUUGUUACAUGUUCUCAGGAUCCCUGAGUCCAGGUUGAGAAAUGCUCUUUUAAAGACGCCCAGGCACAUGCAUUUUGGUUUAACAAUACUUGAUCUACUAAUAGUUCUCAUCAUGCAGUAAUUUAAGUAUUUGGUUGUAUUUUUGUAAGAAUUAAUAAAAUGUUAUA